UACGUAGGGGGCAAGCGUUGUCCGGAAUCAUUGGGCGUAAAGAGCGUGUAGGCGGUUCGGUAAGUCUGUCGUGAAAUCCUGGGGCUCAACCCCGGGCGUGCGAUGGAUACUGCCGGGCUAGAGGGUGGUAGAGGCGAGUGGAAUUCCCGGUGUAGCGGUGAAAUGCGUAGAGAUCGGGAAGAACAUCGGUGGCGAAAGCGCUCUGCUGGACUGCAACUGACACUCAGGGACGAAAGCUAGGGGAGCGAACAGG
rnacentral:rRNA from 1 species